UACGUAGGGGGCAAGCGUUGUCCGGAAUCAUUGGGCGUAAAGAGCGUGUAGGCGGCCCGAUAAGUCCGCUGUGAAAGUCCAGGGCUCAACCCUGGAAUGCCGGUGGAUACUGUCGGGCUCGAAUCCGGAAGAGGUGAGUGGAAUUCAUGGUGUAGCAGUGAAAUGCGUAGAGAUCAUGAGGAAGACCAGUGGCGAAGGCGGGUCUCUGGACAGUUCCUGACACUGAGGCACGAAGGCCAGGGGAGCAAACGGG
rnacentral:rRNA from 1 species